AAAAUUUUAAUAGUAAUGUGGUUUUGAGAUAU
rnacentral:guide_RNA from 1 species